rnacentral:rRNA from 1 species
GACGAACCGUGCGAACGUUGUUCGGAUUCACUGGGCUUAAAGGGCGCGUAGGCGGGCGGUCAAGUCGGGGGUGAAAUCUUUCAGCUUAACUGGAAAAGUGCCUCCGAUACUGAUCGCCUCGAGGGAGGUAGGGGCAUGUGGAACUUCCGGUGGAGCGGUGAAAUGCGUAGAUAUCGGAAGGAACACCAGUGGCGAAAGCGGCUUCCUGGUCCGACACCGACGUUCAGGCACGAAAGCGUGGGGAGCAAACAGG